GAGCUUGUGAUGAUUCAGGUCCAAAAGGAUCUUAGCGGAUUUGUGUGAGGCGAUUCUGUCGCCGUUGAUCGCUCAAUGUUGUUACACACACGGAAGCUU
rfam:Leersia perrieri chromosome 2, whole genome shotgun sequence.